rnacentral:rRNA from 1 species
AUGAUAUGCAUGCAUGGGUCCAAGGUGACUCAUCAAGAGAAAAUAAAGAAGAAAAGGCAGAUAAAUCACAUGGCAUGGAGCUAUGCAUGUAGUAUCAUGCAUGCAUGCAUGCAUUGUGGUUGGUAUACAAGUAUACAUAUACUCCCUCCGUCCGGGAAUAAGUGUACAUCUAGUUUUUGUUCUAAGUCAAAGUUUUUUAAAAUUUUAACCAACUUUAUAGAAAAUAAUACUAACAUAUAUGAAAUCAAAUUGAUAUAUUAUCAAAGUACAUUUCAAAAAGAAUCUAGUGAUACUAAUUUGAUGCCAUAA